rnacentral:rRNA from 1 species
UGGGGAAUUUUCCGCAAUGGGCGCAAGCCUGACGGAGCAACGCCGCGUGAGGGAGGAAGGCCUGUGGGUCGUAAACCUCUUUUCUCAGGGAAGAAUUUUUGACGGUACCUGAGGAAUCAGCAUCGGCUAACUCCGUGCCAGCAGCCGCGGUAAGACGGAGGAUGCAAGCGUUAUCCGGAAUUAUUGGGCGUAAAGCGUCCGUAGGUGGCCGUUCAAGUCUGUUGUUAAAGCCCACAGCUCAACUGUGGAUGGGCAAUGGAAACUGAAUAGCUAGAGUGUGGUAGGGGUAGAGGGAAUUCCUAGUGUAGCGGUGAAAUGCGUAGAUAUUAGGAAGAACACCAGUGGCGAAGGCGCUCUACUGGGCCAUAACUGACACUGAUGGACGAAAGCUAGGGGAGCGAAAGGGAUUAGAUACCCCCGUAGUCC